AUUUAAUGUGUGCAUGUGUGCAAGUAUAUUGACUUUUUCUUAUUUUAAAUUAAAAUAUUUAAUUGUUUUAAAUGAAUAGAAUAAAAUAUAUCUAUUUAUUUUUUAUUUCAAUGCAAAACAUUUGUUUUUAUGGUUUAAAAAAAUAAAAGCCUGUUGUAUGUCCUCAUAUUGAGAGCUGCAGCAGUGUGUGUGUGUGUGUGUGGUAUAUAAGUUUACACAGCUGUGACUUUGAACUUCAAUUCUCUUUCUCUCUCUUCAAACCGCUGCCCUGCAGGUCACAUGUAUUUUUCAGAGCUCAUCACACUGGCUCAUGUUCCUGCUGCUCUCAUUUACUGGGUUCACUGGUAUCAUUUUGAAUUAUGUUCAAAUCUUCUAAACCCUUUGAAGUUUCUGCCUUCGCCAGUCCUUGUGAGAAGACAUCUCAGCCUUGUAUAAUUGCUCAUCUGACAAGCAUCUCAGGAGUGGAUAUUCCUGGAGACAAGGAGAGCUUGAAUUCGUGCACAUGCACACUCAACAUCUCCUGCCUGUUGCUUUUCUGCCUGCAUUCUCCACCAAGUAAAUGAACUCUAUCUAGGAGCCACUAGCUGCUGGGGAUGUGUCUUGCUGAUAUUUCUCACUUGGAAAUAUGCAGGUAUUCUGUAGGGCUUCGUAGGGCUUCGUAAACUAAACAAUACUGAGCCAGAGAAACCCCCAGAAGAACAGCCCUCAAUCUGCAGAGGUCACAGUCAGGACACAGUUUCAUUACAACACUGUAGGAAAAGUAAAGGUCCCAUUACAGCUCAUCCCAGUGAUCCAUGCUACAAUAUUUCACCAUGUUUUGGAGAAAAUGCCACCAGUUUUUUCAGUAUGUCAGUGCAGUGGAGGACUAAUUCACCCAAAAAAUUAAAAUUCAGUCAUGCCGUUCCAAACUAAUAUGACUUCUUUCUGCCGUGAAACACAAAAGGAUAAAUUCUUUAUCCUCAUACUGAUCUUUUGACAAAAAUGUACAUGCUUAUGUACAAUAAAAGCAGCCAAUACACUGUAAAAAUAUUUUAA
ensembl:lncRNA